UACGUAGGUGGCAAGCGUUGUCCGGAAUUAUUGGGCGUAAAGCGCGCGCAGGCGGCACUGUAAGUAAGGUGUGAAAUAUCCCUGCUCAACGGGGAGGGUGCACUUUAGACUGCAGAGCUAGAGGACGGUAGAGGGGGGUGGAAUUGCUGGUGUAGCGGUGAAAUGCGUAGAGAUCAGCAGGAACACCCGUGGCGAAGGCGGCCCCCUGGGCCGAACCUGACGCUGAGGCGCGAAGGCUAGGGGAGCGAACGGG
rnacentral:rRNA from 1 species